AUGAACGCUGGCGGCGUGCCUAAUACAUGCAAGUCGAGCGAACAGACGAGGAGCUUGCUCCUCUGACGUUAGCGGCGGACGGGUGAGUAACACGUGGAUAACCUACCUAUAAGACUGGGAUAACUUCGGGAAACCGGAGCUAAUACCGGAUAAUAUAUUGAACCGCAUGGUUCAAUAGUGAAAGACGGUUUUGCUGUCACUUAUAGAUGGAUCCGCGCCGCAUUAGCUAGUUGGUAAGGUAACGGCUUACCAAGGCAACGAUGCGUAGCCGACCUGAGAGGGUGAUCGGCCACACUGGAACUGAGACACGGUCCAGACUCCUACGGGAGGCAGCAGUAGGGAAUCUUCCGCAGUGGGCGAAAGCCUGACGGAGCAACGCCGCGUGAGUGAUGAAGGUCUUCGGAUCGUAAAACUCUGUUAUUAGGGAAGAACAAAUGUGUAAGUAACUAUGCACGUCUGGACGGUACCUAAUCAGAAAGCCACGGCUAACUACGU
rnacentral:rRNA from 1 species